rnacentral:lncRNA from 1 species
ACAUUUUUGGUCCACUGCUUGGGAUCCUUCACCUGGUACAGCCUUCGCUCUAGGCUGAGUGAGCAGCCUAGGCAGCCUGACUUAAGGAUGAAUCUGAGCCGCCAGUCCCUAACGAAGCAUCUCCAAGAACCCAGUUGGGGGGAAAGCAUGAGGAGAUGGGUGAGGAGUGGGCAAGAAUCAAAACACCACUUGGCAACAAAGCCCAAGCUCUGCGUUUAGCGAUGUAAAACCUGGAUUGACAGAUCACUGGAGGAUCACUGCCACCAAGGUCCCUCGGAUGCAGGGCUCGCCACAGUCCUCCUGUGCUAGGACUUUCCGCUCCUCCGACCUGGAGGAUCCUCCUUGUCCUCGGACUCCAGGCUUCCGCUUUCGUCUCCCGCUGGGCUGCAGCCCGCCCCCGCCCGCCCUGGGCACAGCUGCGUUACUCACGUCCUUCUUCACUUCAGUGAGGUCCUCCUCGGUGAGGGACGGUGCGGUGGGCUCCAUGGUGGAGGCGGGAGAUGGCGCUUCUUCCGGGUCCGGGAGCUCGGGCUGCGCCGCCCCGCCCUGGCUGGGGGCUUCGGCCUCCGGGUAAUGGGGAAGAAGGAGAGGAGGCGGAGCGGGUCGGGAGAAAGACGGCCGCCCCUUCGGGAACAGAGGGACUCGGGGGUCAAACCGUAGCGCUUCCGGCCCCGCCUCUGAGGUCGACGGCGACGCGAAUCUACGCGACGCGACGCGGAGCUCGGAGCAGCGUUCCUUCCCUCUCGUAGAGGCUCAGGCGCAGGCACCGCCCCACGGCGAGGCGCGUCGCUUAGCAGAGCCCGCCCUGUCUCUGCGGCAGCCUAUCGACGCCAGCCCGCGGGCCGAUCCUGUUCCCGCCCCCGACCGGAGCCUUUCGGGUGGCUCCGCCCACAGCGGGCGUUUCCUCAAGCCACGCCUGCGCAGGUCGUCGGUAAGUGGCCCGGGUUAGCUUCCUCAUAAGGCAUCGUUUCCGUGGGUGGGGUCCGUCAGUGCCCAGGCAGCUGGCACUCUCAGCCUUUGCUGCCUGCUCACUUCGGGGGAGUCCGGUCUGGGCUUGUCAGUACCUUGGGUUCCUCCCCUUUUCCCAGACCCUGCCCUACAAUUUCCUGUUGUUACGUUUGCCAGUUACUGUUUUGGUCACACACAAACGCACUCAUACACACAUACACAUGCAUACACACAAACAGCCUAACUACAAUACUAAACAAAUUUUUGAAAGAAAAAAAGAAACCACCUACAAUCCCACCACUUUAACACCUCAUUUAACGUUUGCAUACUUUUUGGUCACUGUUCAUUAUAAACAUAGCUUUUCCUCAUUAGUUAAUCUGUGUAAUGGAGAUAGAUAUGCUUACCUUUUAGGGCUGCCGGGAUCAUAUGUAAAGUUCUUAAAGGUAGUUGGGCACACAGUAUGCACUCAACUGAUUAUUUAUUUAUUUAUUGAGACAGGAUCUCACUCUGUCGCCCAGGCUGGAGUGCAGUGGUGCGAUUCUCGGCUCACUGCAGCUUCCACCUCCAGGGCUCAGGCGAUCCUUCCACCUCAGCCACCAAGCAGCUGGGAGUCCAGCUAGUUUUUUUGUAUUUUUUAUAGAGAUGGAGUUUCGCCAUGUUGCCCAGGCUGGUCUCAAACUCCUGGGCUCAAGCCAUCCACCCGCCUCGGCUUCCCAAAGUGCAGGGACUACAGGCAUGAGCCACCCAGCUCAUCCUACUCAAACAUUUAUUGAGUCCUUACUAAUAUGUUCUAGGCAACUUAUACUAUGAGUCCUCCAUUUUAUAGGGGGAGACUGAUGAAGAGACGACUAUCCCCAGACCGUAUUUUAACUACUAUGGCGCUGUGUAAGAAGCAACCUGAGAAGUGUGGAUGAAAAGCUACAGGUAGAGCCCUGGGCCCAAGACGGUGGCUUGGACAACAUGCUAAAUAAACUAUAAACUAGAUGGUAUUUGAAGCUACGAGAGUAGAUAAAAAUGACAGGAGGACCAAGGAGAAACUUGGGAACGCCAAUGUUUAAGAAACGGGAAAGCAAAAAAAAAAAAAAACACACACAAAAAAACAAUGUAACCAGAGCCACAAAAACCAGAAUCACAGCAAGGGAUUCUGAUGUUUACAUUAUGUCCUGUUUCCAUGUUGACACAUUACACAAGGACAGUUUUUUUCUAAUUGCUUAAUUUUUCAUCAUCUUCCAUCCGAUUUACUGAACCAUCCUUAACUUUAGGAUGAAUCCUUUCAUUUAACAAAUGUGUUUUGAAUGUCCACUAUGUGCCAGACACUGUUCUAGGUGCUAGGAAAACAGCUGUGAACAAAACCAAUAAAAAUCUCUUUCCUCAUGGAAUUUAUAUUCUAGUUUAUUUGUGUUUGGGGCAGACGAGGUAGGCACUUGAAAAAUUUUAUCUAAGUUUAUUUAUUUAUUUAUUUGGAGACAGAAUCUCGCUCUGUCACGCAGGCUGGAGUGCAGUGGCACGAUCUCUGCUCACUGCAACCUCCUCCUCCCAGGUUCAAGUGAUUCUCCUGCCUCAGCCUCCCCAGUAGCUGGGAUUACAGGCGCAUGCCACCACACCCGGCUAUAUCUAAGUUAUUUUAAAAAAAUAAUUAAUUAAUUUAUUUUUUUGAGACGGAGUCUCACUCUGUUUCCCAGGCUGGAGUGCAAUGGCACCAUCUCAGCUUACUGCAACUUCUGCCUCCCGGGUUCGAGCGAUUCUCCUGCUUCAGCCUCCUGAGUAGCUGGGACUACAGGCACACACCACCACGCCCAGCUAAUUUUUGUACUUUUAGUAGAGACAAGGUUUCACCACAUUGGCCAGGUUGGUUUCGAACUCCUGACCUCAGGUGAUCUGCCCACCUCAACCUCCCAAAGUGCUGGGAUUACAGGCAUGAUCCCCCACGCCUGGCUAUAUCUAAGUUAUUUAAUUUAUUAGAAGAUGAUAAAUACUAAGAGGAAAAAAUAAAACAGGGAAGUAGGAUGAGGCUGUAUGGAUUGGUAAAAUUUAAGCUAGGGUGGUCAUGACCUCCCUGCUCACUUUGGAGGAGUCUGUCCUUGUCUUGUCAAUACCAAGAUAAGGGAUUUGAUUUAUGCUUAAAGGAAGUGAGGGAGUGAACCGUGUGGAUAUAAGGAGAGAGCAUUAUGAGUACAGUCAGCAACCAAUAAAAAUGCUCAGUGUAACUGGAAGGAGAUGAUCUCCUUGUGUGUUGAGUCAUAUGGGUGUGCUGAGUCAGACGGGAAGCCACUGGAAGGUUCUGAGCAGAGUGACAUGAUCUGAUUUGUGAUUUGAAAAGAAGCACUUUCACUUCUGUGCUAAGGGGAAAGAAGAUGGAAGAGGGAAAACCAUUUAGGGAGGUAUUGCUAUAUCCAGGCCCCAGGAGGUUGUGGUUCAGACCAGGGUGGAGCAGUGAGGGUGGUGGGAGCAUUUUGAAAUGAAGCAAGGAAGCAGUUUGAUUUCAUUUUGAAAGGAUCACUCUGGCUGCUAAGUGGAGAGUAGAUGGCAGGGGCAAGGGCAAGAAGCAGAGACUACGUGGAGGCUACCACAAUGUCAGGUUCACGACUGAGCCAAAUGUCAUGCUUGGGGUCAGGUUCUAGCCCAUGCUGAGGUCCAAGGGGAGUGGGUGGAUGAGCAGAAAGAACACUCAGGGGACCGUAGGCAGGUAAAAGAUGAUUUUACUCAGCAGCAGCUCUCAUCAACAGCUUUCUUACACUAGCUCUCUACACUGUCUGCCCUGUCUCAGGUGCUUAGUCUGGCGGCUCCCCCACACAGCUGCAUGGCCGACUCUCCCUUGCCUUCGGGGUCAGCAGCUUAACUCUUCCUCUCUCUGGGCAUGAGCAAGCCGAGCUGUGUCCUGGCUCCCCACUGUCAGUCUCCAAGAGGGUCAACUCUGGCUCUCUCUCUCUCUCUCUGGGUGUCAGCACGCCUGCACGAUGUCAACAGGGCAAUUAUACCUUUUACAGACAAUAGUGGCUUAGAGCCAAGGGAUGGCCUUCCCAUGUUAUGGCUACAUAGCUGUGAUAACAAGUGGAGUUAUAUGCCUGCGCUCUAAACUCGCUGAGUCCCUGUGGAUGUUUACCUCGUCCUAUCCUUGACCAAAGCACAGCCAUGUUCCUUACACACAGCCAUCCAGGCACAGCUUAGGAUGGCUUGACCAGGGUGGGGGCAGUGGUGAGCACUCCCCACUGACACCUUAAAUCCUUCCCAAGUGUUCAUUGUUAUUAAAAAAUUGUCAUAGAAUUUACAUAUUUUCAUCCUUUUUCCUUUCAAAUUAUCAUUGCCUUUGCAUAAAUUCCCAGAACCAGGAGUACAAAGCCCAAGGAAAUGAAUAUUUUAUGGCUUUUCUUAUAUAUGGGUGCUCUCCAAAAGGGCUGUGUUGGUCUAUCUGUGUGUGGGAAUGAACUGUUUUUACCACAGUCAAAUCAGUUCUGCUGAUGAAGGGGAGGAUUCACCCAUCAAAGCAAGUGAAUUGAAUGCUGCCAAUUUAAUGCACUCAUUUUGAUUUGGCCAUUUUGAGAUUGCUACUGCACUGUUGUUCUUUUUAAAGGAAACAUUUUAAACCCACCAAACUAUAAAGAAUAUUACAAACACCCUACGCUCACUACCAAGAUUGAGCAGAUACUGAUAUAUUGCCACAUUUGCUUGUCAUGGCUUUUGAUUACCAAAUGUUAGUGGCAGACAUCUUUGAUUCUUGAACAUUCUUCCAUGCCCUAUACAUCUGAGUCUUUCUCUUUCCUUGACCAUCAUUUCAUUUCUGACACCUCCAACCCUUUUCUAUCCUCAGUAUUCAUUCCCUUAUUUAUUUAGUCAACUAAAAAGUUAAGUGUCUGCCCUAUGUUAGAAUUGGGAGUUACAGAAUAAGGAUCAGGGAUUGGGCGGGACUGAAUGAGGAUUCCGGGAGUUUUUUUAUAGCUGAAAGAGUAAUAUUUUGCUUUUCAGACCAUGUGUCAAUGUUCCCAAGAUGAAUUGCCUAGCUUAAAAAGCCACAUCUGAAUACCACGUGCUUAAUCACAGAGCUCGUUUGUGGCAGGCUUUGCAACUCCCAGUCCUUCUUGCUUUCUAAUGCAUCAUAAUUCUUUCAUUAGUAAACUAAUUUUCCUCUUUCUGCUAAAUCACAGGGUCUGGCUAACAAUGAAGUUUGGGCAUAGUUUCAAGAAAACAGCCCCACCCAUCCACUACCUUGCAAUAAUCCUACUUCUUCCUCAUCCCUUAACACAGCCUCCAUACCCCCUUAACUUCCAGGUGCUCCAUCUGCCUCCUACUGUGAAAUAGAAGGCACCUGAGAAAUGUGCCAUGAGGGAUACGGUUUAGGUGCUACAAUCAUAAGGCUGCAUAACAUCAUGGUACAGAUGAGAUAUCAUUAAGAAUGAGGAUGUCUGAUAUCUGACAGACAGUGUAUUAGUUUCCUAGGGCCAUCAUACCAAAUUACCAAAAACAAGGUAGCUUAACAGAUAUUUAGUCUCUCACAGUUCUGGAGGGUAGAAGUCCAAAAUUGGCAGUGCCAUGCUCUCUCUGAAGCCGCGAGGGAGGAUUCUUUCAUUGCCUCUUGCUUGGUUCUGGUGACUUCUGGCAAUCCUUGGCAUUCCUCAGCUUGUGGCGGCAUCACUCCCACCCCAGCCUCCAUCUUCACAUGACCUUCCUCUCUGUGUCUCCUCCUGUGUUUCUGUGUCCACAUUUCCUUCUUUUUAAGGACACCAGUCACUGGAUUUAGGGCCCACCCUAAUUCAGUAUGACUUUAUCUUAACUUGAUUACAUCUGUAAAGACACAUUUUUUUUUUCUUUUGAGACAGGGUCUUUCUCUGUCACCCACGCUGGAGUACAAUGGCACAGUCAUGGCUUAUGGCAGCCUCAAAUUCCUGGGCUCAAGCAAUUUUCCUCCUUAGCCUCCCAAGUAGCUGAGAAUACAGACAUGUGCCACCACGCUCAGCUAUUUUUUUAUUUUUUUAUUUUUUACUUUUGUAGAGACAGUGUCUUGUUAUGUUGACCAGGCUGGUUUCCAACUCCUGGGCUCAAAUGAUCCUCCUGCCUCAGCCUCCCAAAUUACUGGGAUUACAGGCAUAAGCCACCAUGCCAGCCAAAGACACUAUUUUGAAAUAAGUUCACAUUCCAAGUUCCAGUAGAUGUGAAUUUUGGGGAGAUGCUAUUCAAGUCAGUACAGCUGAAUUCUAGAUUUGCCAAUUAUUAGCUGUAGGAUCUUGGAUCAAUUAGUAAGUAUGCAAUAAAGAUAGUGAUAAUAAGAAUUCAGAGGUAGGGAAGAGGAAACCAUUCUGAUCGAUAAAACAACAUGAAAGAGGAGUUCACCCAGUAUUUAAGCUGGGUGGGAGGAUUUUAAUGGGGAGCUUUAACUGCUUCUUGGUUAUUUAUUCCAUACUUCCUGUCAGAUGUCAGAUGUGUAUUGAGCAACAAAUACUAUUCCAGGUGGUUGUGGAAUUAUAAAUUGUGGAUUAUACAUUCUCUGUAAAUGGUUGGAAGAAAAAACUGGCCAAUUCUGAGACAGACACUCUUAGGUUUUAAUGACAAGAUACUAUGUGGUGAAAUUCAGAUGUUUCAGCACAGGGACUUUGUGAAGACUCCUGGGGGUCCUGUCUCUAGGAAUGGCUCUUGGCUUAGGAAGGAAAGACCAGGAAAGUGUAGGGUGGUGGGCGUGGACCUGAGAAAAUGCUCUGACAAUAUUUGCUAGUGUACCCCAAGACUAGGACAUUGCUGGGGCUGAUGAGGGAACCAGAGAUAAGGGAUCAUUCCCUUUGUCUUCCCCCUAGAGGACUGGUUUGAAGAGUGCAGGCAGGCACCUGCUAUGAGUCCUGAAUGUUUGGAGGUUGCAUACCUAUAUGCCAGCAGGGGGAUAUUGGAGGAGGGGCUAGAUCUCCCAGUCUUACAACUCCCUGGGAAGAAAUAAUCACUAGCAGUUUAUUUCACAUUCACUCUGAGCCAAGCACUUUACAUCUGUGGUGGGAAUUUAAUGCCUAUAACAGUCCUUACAGGUAGGCUUUAUUAUCCUCACUUUAGAGAUGAGAAAUCCGAGGCUUAGAAACAUGAUUUGCUCAAGGUCAUUCUCCCACCAAGUAGCAGAACCGGGAUUCCAGUUCAGCCUUGAUAAUAAGGCCAG